ensembl:lncRNA
AGCUUCCCCAGGGGCUCAGUGGUAAAGAAUCCUCCCACCAGCGCAGGAGUCAGGUUGGAUCCCCGCUCUGGGAAGAUCCCGCGUGCCACGGGGGCACUAAACCCGCAUGGCACAACAAUUGGCUGUGCUCUAGAGCCUGGGAACAGCAACUGAUGAAGCCUGUGAGCCCGAGGGCCCGUGCUCUGCAACGUGAGAAACUACGCAGGGCAACUAGAACCUGCUCGCUACAACUAGAGCGGCCCCUGCUUGCAUAACUAGAGGAGAGCCUGCGCAGCAACAAAGACCCAGGACAGCUGGAAAUAAAUAACAAAAUAAAUUUUACCAACAAAGAAAGACGCUUUCCUGAAUUUGAAUAAAUCUUCAGAUUUGCUGGAGGAGAAAGGAAGCUGGAAUCAGCUCUCGGUUGAGCAGGGCUUCCCAGGUGGCACAGUGGUAAAGAAUCUGCCUGCCGACCAAGAGCUGCAGGUUCAGUCUCCAGGUCUGGAAGAGCCUCUGGAGGAGGAAAUGACAACUCACCCCCAGUGUUCUUGCCUGGAAAAUUCUAUGGACAGAUGAGCCUUGUGCGUUACAGUCCAUGAGGCCGCAAACAGUCAGACAAAACUGAGCGACUGAGCACACACUGGGGUGAGCUACUUCACAAGGGGAUCUUCCUGACCCAGGGAUCGAACCCAGGUCUCCCGCAUUGGAGGCGGAUGCUUUGAGACACUGGGGAAAAUCUUACCUGAAGGUAGGCUGUUUCAUACAUCUCCUGUGAUCCCCUUCUUUGAGUUUUUG